CUUAGGCGUGUGACUGCGUACCUUUUGUAUAAUGGGUCAGCGACUUAUAUUCUGUAGCAAGGUUAACCGAAUAGGGGAGCCGAAGGGAAACCGAGUCUUAACUGGGCGUUAAGUUGCAGGGUAUAGACCCGAAACCCGGUGAUCUAGCCAUGGGCAGGUUGAAGGUUGGGUAACACUAACUGGAGGACCGAACCGACUAAUGUUGAAAAAUUAGCGGAUGACUUGUGGCUGGGGGUGAAAGGCCAAUCAAACCGGGAGAUAGCUGGUUCUCCCCGAAAGCUAUUUAGGUAGCGCCUCGUGAAUUCAUCUCCGGGGGUAGAGCACUGUUUCGGCAAGGGGGUCAUCCCGACUUACCAACCCGAUGCAAACUGCGAAUACCGGAGAAUGUUAUCACGGGAGACACACGGCGGGUGCUAACGUCCGUCGUGAAGAGGGAAACAACCCAGACCGCCAGCUAAGGUCCCAAAGUCAUGGUUAAGUGGGAAACGAUGUGGGAAGGCCCAGACAGCCAGGAUGUUGGCUUAGAAGCAGCCAUCAUUUAAAGAAAGCGUAAUAGCUCACUGGUCGAGUCGGCCUGCGCGGAAGAUGUAACGGGGCUAAACCAUGCACCGAAGCUGCGGCAGCGACGCUUAUGCGUUGUUGGGUAGGGGAGCGUUCUGUAAGCCUGCGAAGGUGUGCUGUGAGGCAUGCUGGAGGUAUCAGAAGUGCGAAUGCUGACAUAAGUAACGAUAAAGCGGGUGAAAAGCCCGCUCGCCGGAAGACCAAGGGUUCCUGUCCAACGUUAAUCGGGGCAGGGUGAGUCGACCCCUAAGGCGAGGCCGAAAGGCGUAGUCGAUGGGAAACAGGUUAAUAUUCCUGUACUUGGUGUUACUGCGAAGGGGGGACGGAGAAGGCUAUGUUGGCCGGGCGACGGUUGUCCCGGUUUAAGCGUGUAGGCUGGUUUUCCAGGCAAAUCCGGAAAAUCAAGGCUGAGGCGUGAUGACGAGGCACUACGGUGCUGAAGCAACAAAUGCCCUGCUUCCAGGAAAAGCCUCUAAGCAUCAGGUAACAUCAAAUCGUACCCCAAACCGACACAGGUGGUCAGGUAGAGAAUACCAAGGCGCUUGAGAGAACUCGGGUGAAGGAACUAGGCAAAAUGGUGCCGUAACUUCGGGAGAAGGCACGCUGAUAUGUAGGUGAAGUCCCUCGCGGAUGGAGCUGAAAUCAGUCGAAGAUACCAGCUGGCUGCAACUGUUUAUUAAAAACACAGCACUGUGCAAACACGAAAGUGGACGUAUACGGUGUGACGCCUGCCCGGUGCCGGAAGGUUAAUUGAUGGGGUCAGCGCAAGCGAAGCUCUUGAUCG
rnacentral:rRNA from 1 species